GACGAACGCUGGCGGCGUGCUUAACACAUGCAAGUCGAGCGGUAAGGCCCUUUCGGGGGUACACGAGCGGCGAACGGGUGAGUAACACGUGGGUGACCUGCCCUCAGCUCUGGGAUAAGCCUGGGAAACCGGGUCUAAUACCGGAUAUGACUCCAUGACGCAUGUUGUGGGGUGGAAAGCCUUGUGCGGCUGAGGAUGGGCCCGCGGCCUAUCAGCUUGUUGGUGGGGUGAUGGCCUACCAAGGCGACGACGGGUAGCCGGCCUGAGAGGGCGACCGGCCACACUGGGACUGAGACACGGCCCAGACUCCUACGGGAGGCAGCAGUGGGGAAUCUUGCGCAAUGGGCGAAAGCCUGACGCAGCGACGCCGCGUGAGGGAUGACGGCCUCGGUUGUAAC
rnacentral:rRNA from 1 species